GCUAACAGCCAUGUCACUCUGAACAUAUCCAACCUCAUUUUGGUCUCAGAAGCUAAGUAGGGUCUGGCCUGGUUAGUUGGAAGGGAGAAAGCUAGUUUUCUUUAAACC
rnacentral:rRNA from 1 species